rnacentral:rRNA from 1 species
GGACCUCAAAUCAAGCAAGGUUACCCGCU